rnacentral:rRNA from 1 species
GAUGAACGCUGGCGGCGUGCCUAAUACAUGCAAGUCGAACGAGGACCCCUGUACUUGUACGGGGGGAUCCUAGUGGCGAACGGGUGAGUAACGCGUAGGUGACCUACCCCGAAGAGGGGGAUAACAGCUCGAAAGGGCUGCUAAUACCCCAUAAUAUCUAUCAAGUUAGAGGGAGAUAGAAGAAAAGGAGCGAUCCGCUUUGGGAGGGGCCUGCGACCCAUCAGCUAGUUGGUAAGGUAAGAGCUUACCAAGGCGAAGACGGGUAGGGGACCUGAGAGGGUGAUCCCCCACAAUGGAACUGAAACACGGUCCAUACACCUACGGGUGGCAGCAGUAGGGAAUAUUGCCCAAUGGACGAAAGUCUGAGGCAGCAACGCCGCGUGCACGAAGAAGGCCUUCGGGUUGUAAAGUGCUUUUCGGGGAGAAGAGGAAGGACGGUAUCCCCGGAAUAAGGUUCGGCUAACUACGUGCCAGCAGCCGCGGUAAAACGUAGGAAUCGAGCGUUAUCCGAAUUUACUGGGCGUAAAGGGCUCGCAGGCGGAACUACAAGUUGGAUGUAAAAGCUCCCGGCUCAACUGGGAGAGGACGUACAAGACUGUAGAACUAGAGGGCGACAGAGGGAGGUGGAAUUCCCGGUGUAGUGGUGAAAUGCGUAGAUAUCGGGAGGAACACCAGAGGCGAAGGCGGCCUCCUGGGUCGUACCUGACGCUGAGGAGCGAAAGCUAGGGGAGCGAACGGGAUUAGAAACCCCGGUAGUCCUAGCCGUAAACGAUGUAGACUAGGUGUUAGGGAUGUAAAAGUCUUUAGUGCCGGAGCAAACGUGAUAAGUCUACCGCCUGGGGACUACGGCCGCAAGGUUAAAACUCAAAGGAAUUGACGG